AGUGAACGCUGGCGGUAGGCCUAACACAUGCAAGUCGAACGACAGCACAGUAAGAGCUUGCUCUUACGGGUGGCGAGUGGCGGACGGGUGAGGAAUACAUCGGAAUCUACUUUUUCGUGGGGGAUAACGUAGGGAAACUUACGCUAAUACCGCAUACGACCUACGGGUGAAAGCAGGGGAUCUUCGGACCUUGCGCGAUUGAAUGAGCCGAUGUCGGAUUAGCUAGUUGGCGGGGUAAAGGCCCACCAAGGCGACGAUCCGUAGCUGGUCUGAGAGGAUGAUCAGCCACACUGGAACUGCGACACGGUCCAGACUCCUACGGGAGGCAGCAGUGGGGAAUAUUGGACAAUGGGCGCAAGCCUGAUCCAGCCAUACCGCGUGGGUGAAGAAGGCCUUCGGGUUGUAAAGCCCUUUUGUUGGGAAAGAAAAGCAGCAGGUUAAUACCCCGCUGUUCUGACGGUACCCAAAGAAUAAGCACCGGCUAACUUCGUG
rnacentral:rRNA from 1 species